CAAAAACAUUGCUCUUUGUUACACAUAAAGAGUCAGACCUGCCCAGUGAUUAAUUCAACGGCCGCGGAAUUUUAACCGUGCUAAGGUAGCAUAAUCAUUUGUCUUAUAAUUGAAGACUCGUAUGAAUGGUUAAACGAAUAUAAACUAUUUAAUUUAAUAAUAAAUAUAAAUUAUUUUUAAAGUCAAAAAACUUUAAUAUAAUAAAAAGACAAAAAGACCCUGUAGAGUUUUAUUUUUAAUUUAUUUAAUAUAAUUUUAAAAAUUUAGUUGGGGCAACUGAGAAAAAUAAAAAUUUUUCUCAUAAAUAAAAACAUAACAUCAUUUUUUAAAUAAAUCAAAACAAAUUACCUUAGGGUUAACAGCGUAAAUUUCUUUGAGAGCUCACAUCGAAAAGAAAAAUUACGACCUCGAUGUUGGAUUAGAGUAACUUAUAGCUGAAAAAGGUUUUUAAGGUAGUCNUCGUUCGACUAAUAAUCUCUACAUGAUCUGA
rnacentral:rRNA from 1 species